GCCAGGCAUGGUGGCACGCGCCUGUAGUCGCAGCUACUUGGGAGGCUGAGGCGGGAGAAUCUCUUGAACCUGGGAGGUGGAGGUUGCAGUGGGCUGAGAUCAUGCCGUUGCACUCAAGCCUGUUGACAAGAGUGAGACUCCAUCUCAAAAAAAAAAAAAAGGGAUGAAAUGUGCAAUGUGGACAGUUUCACAUGAGUUUUUUUUUUUUUUUUGAGACUGAGUUUCGCUCUUGUUGCCUAGGCUGGAGUGCAAUGGCAUGAUCUCGGCCCACUGCAACCUCCGCCUCCCAGGUUCAAGAGAUUCUCCCGCCUCAG
rnacentral:sRNA from 1 species